rnacentral:sRNA from 1 species
UCCCUACUCAAGUGCAGAGCCCCAUGUGUCAGGUGUGAAACGGUAAGUAUGGCACCUCCCCUGGGGGUGGAGGUGGAUGGAGGGUGGGGGUGUACUCAUGCCAGGUUGCUGCAUCUACAGGUCCCGCUCAGGUGAGGGCGAGGUGAGCGGCCUUAUGCGCAAGGUGCCACGAGUGAGCCUUGAACGCCUGGACCUGGACCUCACAGCUGACAGCCAGCCACCCGUCUUCAAGGUCUUCCCAGGCAGUACCACUGAGGACUACAACCUUAUUGUUAUUGAACGUGGCGCUGCCGCUGCAGCUACCGGCCAGCCAGGGACUGCGCCUGCAGGAACCCCUGGUGCCCCACCCCUGGCUGGCAUGGCCAUUGUCAAGGAGGAGGAGACGGAGGCUGCCAUUGGAGCCCCUCCUACUGCCACUGAGGGCCCUGAGACCAAACCUGUGCUUAUGGCUCUUGCGGAGGGUCCUGGUGCUGAGGGUCCCCGCCUG